UCAUAUCUUUCAUCUUUUUUAUUUAUUUAUAUUUUGGUUUCUCCCUGCGAAGAGCCAAGCAGCUUUGUCGCCGCCGGUGGUCUCUCUCGAGACGAUGAUAAAUCGAUGAAGCCGAAGGGAUGAUCCGAUUGUAGUAGACAUACGACGUUCUAUCCAAGUUAAAUCUUGUCUUAUCUAACAGCGGGAAUUGUUUUUCAAUCCAAAGCACGAACGGGCGAAUUUCUAAAGAGGAAUUAGCGAAGACGACGAACGAUCCACGAGCCCUUCUCCUCCUCCUUCUUCUUGUUUGGGUUUUUUUUAGGGGAGACGAUUGCAAAACCAUAAUCUGAGACGUGUAGGAGAGAUUGCGUGUCUGCUACUCUGUUCUUGCUUCCUCAAUCCUCACCCACCAAUUCCACGGUUUGUCU